rnacentral:tRNA from 1 species
GAGGGUACAGCUCAGUGGUACAGCACGUGUGUAGCAUGCAUGAGGUCCUGGGUUCAAUCCUCAGUACCUCCA